rnacentral:lncRNA from 1 species
AGGGCAGGGAGGGGGACGGGAGGAGAGCAGCCCCUCCCCCGGCGCCGGGCCGACCCGCAGAGCCUGGCGCGUCUCCACCAGGUGUGCGUGCUGACCCUGCACCCCUGAGCUGCGCUUAGUUCUAGAGGGUGUUUGUGGGUUCCUGGGGUCGCCCCCAGCCAGGCCUGCCCAGGGGUGGUUGAUCCUCCUCCCUGCUGGGCCCUGCCCCCCCCUGCUCAGGGCCAGCAGCACCUGCCUCCCCCUGGACGCCCUGAGGGUGGAGCUGCCCGUCCAGCCUCCAGCAGGGCCGCGGCCUCCCCUUGGGGUGGCCUUAGGGGGCUUCCAGGGGGCUUCCCGCCGCGCGGCGCUGCCUCUUCCGACUUGCUGAGAAUUCAAGCUCGUGGGUGGGGGUGGGCCCCGGGGCUGCGUUUUCUGGGCGGUGGGCGGGAUGGGGGCUUUUCUUCUCCAGCCUGCUCAGGGCGGCCCCCGGGGUGUCUGUGGGCUGUGGAACCAGCCGGGGCUGGAAGGAGCCCCCUCAGCAGGGCCCGUGACGAUUCUCCCGCGCCCUGCGGUCCCCUGCCGGGGUUCCCUGAGGCUUCUCCACGGGAGUGGCACUUGGCUGUGGCUUCUCCUUGCCUGUGUCCUGCCUCUGUCCACGGAGCCUCCUGCAGGCCAGUGAGCCCCGGCUCUGGGCAGGGCCCCUGGGCAGGGAGACCCCCAGGCCCUACCUGCCUUCUUCCCUUCCCAGCUGCCCCCCUGUCCUGGCGACUCCCCCAGAAGUCUCCACAGCCCGCCUGGAGGCCACACACUUCCUGCCUGUCCCGGCCAGAGCUCCGCGUCCACUGCCCUGCCUCGAGGACAAGAACGUGGAGGGCCCUGUCGUCUGGUGGGACGCUGGCGGUCACCGUGGAGCCAACUGUUGGGGGCACUUCCCGCAGAAGGGCCAUCUACGUGGGGACCUUUAGGAACCAGAAAGCAGAACCCCCCGCGCUGACACCUGCUCCCCCGCCUGGUGCUGCGCUGCCGGUGAGAGCGAAUCCCAGCCACCCCCGAGGACCAGGCAGAAACAUCUAUCCCCCCAGGAAUCCUGCUCCUGGGAAGCUUCCCACAGAUACCCUCCCGUGUGCCAUGGACAGUCAGCUCGUUUGUCACAGUGCCGCUGGUUGGAGCAAAACCCACCCUAAAGCCCGCCACGGGGGGGCCUGGGAAGUCAGGCCUGCGCUCCCCACGCAGAGGUCAGGGCCCCUCUAAAACCGCAAGGCAUCACCCGAAAAGUUCCCUGAGAUGUUUUAAGUGAAACAAACUGGGACACAGGCCGUGCGCUUGGUAUGAAAGUGCUGAGCAGAACUGGAGGAAAAUAAGGAUCCAUCCCUUUCUGUGACCACUCACAGCACCACGGAACAGAAAGGGGGGGUCGCCGGCGGAGGGGACGGUUGCGAUGCCCUUUUCCACUUUAUUCCACCUUCAAAGUAUUAGAAACAAAAUCACUGGAGGGCAGGGGGCUGACAAUACAAUCGGGGCCAGGUCCUGGCUCACCUGUGUGGCCCCCUGGCCGUAGGUCACAGGUGAGGCAUUUCUGCUUCUAGAACCUUCUGGGCUGGGUUUCUUCCUCCCCAGGUCCCGUUCUUGUCCUGAGAGGAGCCUGCCAGCCUGCUCUGGGGCCUGAGGGCAGCUUCCCUGCUCCUGGGGCUCUGGCCCUCCCGCAGGGUCUGGGACCAGGGAUACUGGCCAGAGAAGGAACGCCAUCGAUGCAGUGUGUGUUCCUUCUUACCCCCAACGACAGAAUUCUAUUUUUCAUUUUUUAAACCUUUGUACAUUUAAUAAUUGAAAAGAUAAACAAUUAGAAACUAAAAAAGAAAACCCAUUUGCAUAAAAACAUACAUUUCUCAGUUAAAUGUACUGGAUACCUAUACUUUUUUUUGAAUGAUACAAUAUGUUACACAAUAUAUUUGGCUCAUAAUAACAUAUUUACACAGUAUUUGUCCUUUUGUGUCUGGCUUGCUUCACUCAACAAUGUCCUCCAGGUUCAUCCAUGCUCUUAUAUAUUUUACAACUUCAUUUCUUCCUACAGCUGCAUAAUAUCCCAUGGUGUGAGCACACCACAGUUUGUUUAUCCAUUCAUCAGUUGAUGGACACCUGGGCUAUUUCCAAUGUUUUGCAGUUGUGAAUAACACCGCUGUGAACAACAAUGUGCUGAUGUCUGUUAAUGUCACUGCUCUCAGUUCUUCUGGGUUUGUACCCAGUACUGGAAUUGCAGGGUCACAUGGCAACUCUAUGUUCAACCUCUUUAGGAACUGCCAAACAGUCCUCCAUAGUGGCUGUACCAUUCUGCGUUCCCACCAAGAGUGCAUAAAGGUUCCUAUUUCUCCAUGUCAUCUCCAACACUUUCAGUUCUGUCUUUUUAAUACUGGCCAUUCUGAUAGCUGUGAAAUGAUAUCUUAUUGUAGUUUCGAUUUGCAUUCCCCUAGUCACUAGUGAUGUUGAGUGUUUCUUCAUGUGCCAAAUGACAGAAUUCUUAUCCAGAAACAUUUUAAAACCAAAAUCAGGUAUGUCACUCCCUCAUAGGCCCCUCCAAUAGGUUCCCGGCUGCUCUGACAUUCUUUUGCUGAGCUUCAAAGUCCUGAAAUCAUCCCGUGGCCUGGGCAGGUGCCAAUGAGCCACUUGCAGAACAACGGUAGCCAGCAGGUGAUGGGGAGGGCCGGGGGUGGGGGGGGUGGGGGAAGAAGCCCUGGUGCCGUGGACGAGCGGCCAGCUCCAGGCCAGGGCAGCUGUGGACCCGGAGUCAGAAGCCUGGUGGGUCCCCACAUCUGCGCUGGCCAGAUGGACGAGAGGACUGCGGGUGCACAGGAGUCCUGCCUUGUCCAGCAGGGGAUCUCCAACAGGAUGCCCAGUUAUACUGGAUUUCAGAUCAUCAGUAAUAUUUUAGUGCAGGUAUGUCUGUGGGAAGGGGUUAUGUUUAAUUUUCACAAGGGGAAGCGGAGCCCGCUCUGCUGUUCAAGGAGGGGGGUAGGGGUUCCAGCAGCUUUGGCCGCCAAGAAUUUGAAAAGUGGCACAGAAAUGAGGGAGAGCCAAUGGUGAGUGCUGGGGGUGGGGCUAGAAGAGGGAGAGCCAAUGGUGAGUGCUGGGGGUGGGGCUAGAAGAGGGAGAGCCAAUGGCGAGUGCUGGGGGUGGGGCUAGAAAAGGGAGAGCCAAUGGUGAGUGCUGGGGGGUGGGGCUAGAAGAGGGAGAGCCAAUGGUGAGAGCUGGGCGGGGACAAAGUGAAAGUGGCGCCAAAUUUGAAAAGCACGCCAGGUGAAAGCGGUGCUGGGCUGGCCCAGCCAGGGGGAGUGUCGGGAACCUGGGAGCGGGGACUGGGAGCGGGAACUGUGGACCUUAGUUAACACCUCGAAAGGCUGUCACCUCUGAAGUACCCAGUGAACGGGGAACAGGAGAGGGACCUGUGUGUUAGGUUUAGGGUAUAAAUGUCAGUGUUUCUAGCUGUUUGGCCUGCUGGCCAUUUUAUCCAGGUGGUGUUGGAAGUUAAGUCGUAAUGAUCUCAUAUGGAAAGACGUGCUGUUUCCCUGGUAACACUUGCAAUGUAAGAAGUUGGGCAGGUGGCAGUGUUGGGAAAGAACACUCAAGCAGGAUGAAGCUGUCACUGGCUACAAGAAUAACGAACAUAUGUGCUUGGUAGUUAUAUAGGACUUCUAGACUGUACUCCAAGAUAAGAUCUUUUAAUUUCUUAGGAUGGAUGGGUAACUUGAGACAAUAGUCGAUUGAAUUCUGUAGGUUAUAGGUAAUACCAACGAUUAACUACAUGUGGCUGCUUGUUCACACGUAUGCUGCGGUAUAUAUAGAAGUCCCUCUGAAGAAAUAAAUUUGUCUGAUGAGUCUUUACUCACAGAUCCCCUGAUCCCAGCUCUCUCUCUUUCUUUCUCUUUGUUUCAUUCUCUUUUUUCUCUUUCUUUCAUUCCCAAUUCCCUUUGGGCCCAAAUCUCCAACAAGGUGGAAGGCCCUGUCUUGCAAGAGCAUUAAUAUAAUUCUUCUCUCCUCCACAAUCAGGUGAGCUUUUGUUUUGUUAUGGGUGCAGCUUUCUUUCUAACAUGUCCCAUGCAAUAUUUUUAUUUUUACUUAUUUUAUUUUUUCUUUUUUUUUAAAGAUUUAUUUUUCAUUUAUUUCUCUUCCCUUCCCCU